rnacentral:rRNA from 1 species
AGAAUCAACGCUGGCGGCGUGCCUCAGACAUGCAAGUCGAACGCGAAAGUCCCCUUCGGGGGACAAGUAGAGUGGCGCACGGGUGAGUAACACGUAGGUAAUCUACCUUCGGAUGGGGAAUAACAACCGGAAACGGUUGCUAAUACCGCAUAAUGCAGCGGCACCUAAUGGUGACAGUUGUUAAAGCGGGGGAUCGAAAGACCUCGCGUCUGAAGAGGAGCCUGCGGCGGAUUAGCUAGUUGGUAGGGUAACGGCCUACCAAGGCGACGAUCCGU